AGAGUUUGAUCCUGGCUCAGGAUGAACGCUGGCGGCGUGCCUAACACAUGCAAGUCGAACGAAGCUUGACGGAUGAUUUCUUCGGAAUGAAACCAGAUAUGACUUAGUGGCGGACGGGUGAGUAACACGUGAGCAACCUGCCUUUCAGAGGGGGAUAACGGCUGGAAACGGUCGCUAAUACCGCAUGAUGUGUUCGGAUGGCAUCAUCUGAACAUCAAAGAUUUAUCGCUGAAAGAUGGGCUCGCGUCUGAUUAGAUAGUUGGUGGGGUAACGGCCUACCAAGUCGACGAUCAGUAGCCGGACUGAGAGGUUGAACGGCCACAUUGGGACUGAGAUACGGCCCAGACUCCUACGGGAGGCAGCAGUGGGGAAUAUUGCACAAUGGGGGAAACCCUGAUGCAGCAACGCCGCGUGAGUGAAGAAGUAUUUCGGUAUGUAAAGCUCUAUCAGCAGGGAAGAUAAUGACGGUACCUGACUAAGAAGCACCGGCUAAAUACGUGCCAGCAGCCGCGGUAAUACGUAUGGUGCAAGCGUUAUCCGGAUUUACUGGGUGUAAAGGGAGCGCAGGCGGUGCGGCAAGUCUGAUGUGAAAGCCCGGGGCUCAACCCCGGUACUGCAUUGGAAACUGUCGUACUAGAGUGUCGGAGGGGUAAGCGGAAUUCCUAGUGUAGCGGUGAAAUGCGUAGAUAUUAGGAGGAACACCAGUGGCGAAGGCGGAUUGCUGGACGAUAACUGACGGUGAGGCGCGAAAGUGUGGGGAGCAAACAGGAUUAGAUACCCUGGUAGUCCACACUGUAAACGAUGAUAGCUAGGUGUGGGGGGUCUGACCCCUUCCGUGCCGGAGUUAACGCAAUAAGCUAUCCACCUGGGGAGUACGACCGCAAGGUUGAAACUCAAAGGAAUUGACGGGGGCCCGCACAAGCAGUGGAUUAUGUGGUUUAAUUCGAAGCAACGCGAAGAACCUUACCAGGUCUUGACAUCCGAUGCAUAACACAGAGAUGUGUGAAAUCCUUCGGGACAUCGAGACAGGUGGUGCAUGGUUGUCGUCAGCUCGUGUCGUGAGAUGUUGGGUUAAGU
rnacentral:rRNA from 1 species